CCUACGGGUGGCAGCAGUGGGGAAUAUUGGGCAAUGGGCGCAAGCCUGACACAGCAACGCCGCGUGAAGGAAGAAGGCCUUCGGGUUGUAAACUUCUUUUCUCAGGGACGAAACAAGUGACGGUACCUGAGGAAUAAGCCACGGCUAACUACGUGCCAGCAGCCGCGGUAAUACGCAGGUGGCAAGCGUUAUCCGGCUUUACUGGGUGUAAAGUGCGUGUAGGCGGGAAAGCAAGUCAGAUGUGAAAACCAUGGGCGCAACCUGUGGCCUGCAGUUGAAACUGUUUUGCUUGAGGACUGGAGAGGCAGACGGAAUUCCUAGUGUAGCGGUGAAAUG
rnacentral:rRNA from 1 species